rnacentral:lncRNA from 1 species
AUUUUUCGUAAUUUACUCAAUCAAUCAUUAAAUACUAGUGUUUUGAUUCAGUUAAUAUUAAACAUUAUUUUUAAAAUUAUUGCUGAACAGAGUUUAUAUCUCAACUUUGAAAUCUAAAAUAAUUGAGUUCAAUAACUAUUAAAAUGUAAGAUGAAAUGAACAUUAAACUAAGCAAGAAAUAGAACAAUCCAAGGUGAUUCUCAGCUUAGAUGAUAAAAUCAGCUGCAGCCUUCAGUGUUCCUUCAACCUGUGGUUGCAACCUUCAGUGUUUCUUCAACCUGUGGUCUUAUACGGCUGCAAACACAAGCUUUUAAUAGUUGAAGUAGUCAUUUAUAAAAAAUUACUUUAUUUUUAAUAUUUGAUUAACUGCUAAUUGAAUAAUUAUCUGCUAGUAAAAUUAUUAAUAACUACUGCAAUAACUAUUAUUGCAAAACAGGACCUAUAUGUUCAUAUUUCAAUUAAUAAAAUAGCAUGACUAUUUCAUCUUUAAUUCAUUUACAUUUAUCACUAUAUUUUUCCAAUUAAUUUGAUUCAUUAAAAUCAAAAUAAUAAAUAAAAAAGUGUUAUACAACAAUAUACCAGUAC